UUUGCGCUGGACACACAAUGACGUUCUUUUACCCAGUUGACACGUCAUAGUUUAACCAUUGCGCCAGAUUAAGUGUAAAUCGAAAAAGUUAUUGCUUUCGAUUGAGCCAACAGGGCCGUAAAGAUUCAAGCUCAUCUUUGUACGGUAGUAAGCAGCUCGCACAAG
rfam:Drosophila grimshawi strain TSC#15287-2541.00 scaffold_15074 genomic scaffold, whole genome shotgun sequence.